GCGUUGGCUCAGUGGUUAGAGCGUAUCGUCUCGUAACCGAAAUGUCGCGGGAUCGAAUCCCACUAGAGGUU
rnacentral:tRNA from 1 species